rnacentral:rRNA from 1 species
CUGCCGCCGCCCUAACACAUGCAAGUCGAACGGGGCUAAUGGAGCUAAAUUUUUCGAAAUGGAGCGAAAUUAGGCUAGUGGCGGACGGGUGAGUAACGCGUGAGCAACCUGCCUUUCAGAGGGGGAUAACGCCUGGAAACGGGCGCUAAUACCGCAUAACAUAUUUUCAUCACAUGGUGGAGAUAUCAAAGGAGCAAUCCGCUGAAAGAUGGGCUCGCGUCCAAUUAGCUAGUUGGUGGGGUAAGAGCCCACCAAGGCGACGAUUGGUAGCCGGACUGAGAGGUUGAACGGCCACAUUGGGACUGAGACACGGCCCAGACUCCUACGGGAGGCAGCAGUGGGGAAUAUUGCACAAUGGGGGAAACCCUGAUGCAGCGACGCCGAGUGAGGGAAGAAGGUUUUCGGAUUGUAAACCUCUGUCCUUGGUGAAGAAGAAAGACGGUAGCCAAGAAGGAAGCUACGGCUAACUACGUGCCAGCAGCCGCCGUAAAAC